rnacentral:lncRNA from 1 species
UGAACAGAGAGAAUUGUUUCUCCUCUUUUGCCAUGUGUUAAUUUCCUAUUUCUGUGUAACACGUUAUAAACACUUAGCAGCUUAAAACAACACUCAGUCAUUAUCUCAUAGCUCUCUAGGUCAGAAGUCCAGACGGGCUUGGCUGGGUUCUCUGCUCAGGGUCUCACAAGCUAAAGUCAAGGUAUCAGUCAGACUGUACUCUUAUCUGCAGGUUCUGGGGAAGAAUCCACUUCCAAGCUCAUUGAGGUUGUUAACAGAAUUUAGUUCCUGUGGGUGAAGGACUGAGGUCCUUAUUUUCUUUCUGGCCGUCAGCCAGGGGCCACUUUCCACUUCUAGAGGGUAACUGCAUUUCUCCCCUUAUUGCCCCUCCAUCUUCAAGUCAGCAAUAUAUAUGAAAUUCUGCUUGUGCUUCAUAUCUCUCUGACCUCUCCCUCUGCCAUGAGCUGAAGAAAAUUCUUUGCUUUUAAAGGGUUCAUUAGGUUUGAGUUAAGCACACCUGGAUAAUCUUUCCUCUGCCAUAUGAUGCAGCAUAAUACAGCAGCGCUGUCUCAUCAUGUUCAUGGAUUCCACCCACCUUCAAAAGGGAAGGGCCACAAAGCAGUGUGUAGGUCUGCACCCAGGAUCCAAACUGGUGAACCCCAGGCUGCUGAAGAGGAGUGCGAGAACUUACCUGCUUUGCCACCAGGCCAGCGCCAGACAGCAGGCCACUGAGAACAGGACACUGGUCACCCAGAUCCGUGUCCAGAGCCUCAGCCACAGUGCCUCACAAGUCAGUCCUCAAGACAGGCUGACUGAUAUCAGGUCCACGAAGCCUUUUCUUUGGCAUACAUUGAACGGAAGUUACUUCUAUAUGCUCAAAGAACAGAGAAUAAGGAGCAAAAUGCUAC